rnacentral:rRNA from 1 species
CCUACGGGAGGCUGCAGUGAGGAAUAUUGGUCAAUGGGCGUAAGCCUGAACCAGCCAAGUCGCGUGAGGGAUGAAGGUUCUAUGGAUCGUAAACCUCUUUUAUAAGGGAAUAAGGCGUGGGACGUGUCCUAUUUUGUAUGUACCUUAUGAAUAAGGAUCGGCUAAUUCCGUGCCAGCAGCCGCGGUAAUACGGAGGAUCCGAGCGUUAUCCGGAUUUGUUGGGUUUAAAGGGUGCGUAGGCGGCCUUUUAAGUGAGCUGUGAAAGUUCGGGGCUCAACCAGGGAAUUGACGUUGAAACUGGGGGGCUUGAGUAUGUUUGAGGCAGGCGGAAUGCGUGGUGUAGCGGUGAAAUGCUUAGAUAUGACGCAGAACCCCGAAUGCGAAGGCAGCCUGCCAAGCCGGGACUGACGCUGAUGCACGAAAGCGUGGGGAUCAAACAGGAUUAGAUACCCCUGUAGUC